GAAAUGCGAUAAGUAAUGUGAAUUGCAGAAUUCAGUGAAUCAUCGAAUCUUUGAACGCACAUUGCGCCCGUCAGCAUUCUGGCGGGCAUGCCUGUUCGAGCGUCAUUUCAACCCUCAGGACCCCCCUUUCGCGGGGAGGGACCUGGCGUUGGGGAUCGGCCCGCCCCCCGCGGCGGCGCCGUCCCCGAAAUCUAGUGGCGGUCUCGCUGCAGCCUCCCCUGCGUAGUAGUUACAACCUCGCAUCGGAGCGCGGCGCGGCCACGCCGUAAAACCCCCGACUUUCUGAACGUUGACCUCGGAUCAGGUAGGGAUACCCGCUGAACUUAAGC
rnacentral:misc_RNA from 1 species